GGAGAGGUGGCUGAGUGGCCGAAAGCAACGGUUUACUAAACCGUCGUUGGGGUAAUACCUAACCGCGAGUUCGAAUCUCGCCCUCUCCG
rnacentral:tRNA from 1 species